UGGGGAAUAUUGCACAAUGGGCGCAAGCCUGAUGCAGCCAUGCCGCGUGUAUGAAGAAGGCCUUCGGGUUGUAAAGUACUUUCAGCGAGGAGGAAGGCGUUGCGGUUAAUAACCGCAGCGAUUGACGUUACUCGCAGAAGAAGCACCGGCUAACUCCGUGCCAGCAGCCGCGGUAAUACGGAGGGUGCAAGCGUUAAUCGGAAUUACUGGGUGUAAAGCGCACGCAGGCGGUCUGUCAAGUCGGAUGUGAAAUCCCCGGGCUCAACCUGGGAACUGCAUCCGAAACUGGCAGGCUAGAGUCUUGUAGAGGGGGGUAGAAUUCCAGGUGUAGCGGUGAAAUGCGUAGAGAUCUGGAGGAAUACCGGUGGCGAAGGCGGCCCCCUGGACAAAGACUGACGCUCAGGUGCGAAAGCGUGGGGAGCAAACA
rnacentral:rRNA from 1 species